GGAGAGUUGUCCGAGUGGUUGAAGGAGCACGCCUGGAAAGCGUGUGUGCGGUGAUACCGUACCGAGAGUUCGAAUCUCUCUCUGCCCGCCACCA
rnacentral:tRNA from 1 species